CUGUCCCAGCCAAUCUGAUGACUUUUCGAGUCUAGUGUUCAGGUUAUAAUGCCCUGCUGUCCAGGAUGGUAGGAUCUGCACGGUUAAUGAACAUGAAACUAACCCUGAGCCGCAGAAACAGCAGCAAAGCACCGACUCUCUUUUGUUCAUCCUUUCGCCUCUAGCCUGGGACUCCUUUUGGCAGCCUGCUUACUUAACACUCCAGGUGCCAGAAGAGAAGAGCAGAGCAAAGCAAGCAUCCUGGCCAUUGCUGUGACUAUUGUUCCACCCACCACAUCUACACUCUGGAAGUGCUUCCGGGUCUCCAGACAGCACAGCUCCAUCCUCAACAGACCUCGGGUUUCAGAGUCAAGAGAGUCAUGAGGCACUGAAGCUGGAAGUCGUUAACAUAUGACUGUUGGUGGCCCUCCAAGGAAGAUGGAUAGUCAAGAACAGUUGCAGCUGGACAGAGCUCCUCUUUACCUCCCCACCCAGUUCCCAUGUCGAGUCCUCUUCUUCAACUUUAAACCUACCAAGUCCACUUUGUGUUAUCCAUACAUACCCUCCCGGAUGUGAGACCAUCCACUGGAGCAUGGCUAACCGACAAGAGUUCACACCCUCAAGGAGAAUGGAAUCUUCUUCCCAGAGAAGUCCUCAUCUAUCCAUAGCUCCUCAGUACUCCUAAAUUGCUAUGAAGAGAAACAGAAGCAGAAGGGAAGACAGUAGCGCUACAUCCAUCGUGACACGAAGCAUGUGCCGGUGUAAGGCAGGCAGG